UACGUAGGGGGCAAGCGUUGUCCGGAUUUAUUGGGCGUAAAGAGCGUGUAGGCGGCCAGGUAGGUCCGCUGUGAAAACUCGAGGCUCAACCUCGAGACGUCGGCGGAAACCAUCUGGCUAGAGUCCGGAAGAGGAGAGUGGAAUUCCUGGUGUAGCGGUGAAAUGCGCAGAUAUCGGGAAGAACACCUAUGGCGAAGGCAGCUCUCUGGGACGGUACUGACGCUGAGACGCGAAAGCGUGGGGAGCGAACAGG
rnacentral:rRNA from 1 species